rnacentral:rRNA from 1 species
GUGUAAGUAUAAAUAGUUAACUUUGGAACUGCGAAUGGCUCAUUAUAUCGGUUAUAGUUUAUUUGAUGCAAUCUACUACUUGGAUAACCGUAGUAAUUCUAGAGCUAAUACGUGGGAGAGUCCUCAACUUAGGAAGAGGUGUAUUUAUUAGAAUGAAAACCAGUAGACAAGUCUAUUCGUGAGUAAUAAUAACUUAUCAUAUCGCAUGCUUAGGUAGCGAUAUGUCUUUCAAGUUUCUGCCCUAUCAGCUUG